UUAUUUUUUUUUAUGUUCAUUAUUAGGUUGAGUGACUGCAUUUGUUAGUAAGUAAGUAAGCUCAUAGCAUUAAUCAAAAUUAUAUUAAGUACUUGCUCGGUCGUGACUUUAGAUGGGAGGGGAAAAGCACAGUGAUCGCUCGGGCAUCACUGAUAGAACGGUGUCAAGGGAAAGCUCCACAGUUGAGACACGAACCACAACCACCAACAUCAGCACAGAGUUGAUACACGAACCACAACACCAGCACAGAGAGCAGAAAAGCUCAACCACCAGCAUCAGCACAGAGAGAGACACCAACAUGGUAAAAUUACUAAUAGGUGACGGAUUCACCACAGUGCCUUCUCAUUCGAGGACCACCAGCUUGUCAGUUGUUUGCCAAACGAAGAGUGCAGAACGUAAACGUUUGCUAUCUGCUAGAGAGAGAUGGUGAAUAAGCUGGUGGUCCUCCACUCAGCUGACGACGUCACCUAUUAGUAAUUUCACCAUGGACACCAAUACUCACGCCAAGAAGAGAGCCGAAAGCGACAAAAUGUUGCCGAGAGACCGGCAUCAAGGGUGGGUUUAUAAGAUCGCGAGCCACAGGGAAAAUGAAGAGUGAGAUUCCAGACCAGCGAGCUGAACGGACGUGCCAGUGGAAGCAAAGAAGACAGAUUUUGACGGCGAGCAAGGAAAGGAUUGGCAGAAUCGACCACUGUGCCCUGGCUUGACUGAGAGUUGUACCCCAGCCUAGAUCGCUUCCUUACAGGAUGAACAGGAAAAUAUGUGCAUAUCGGUGCCAUACACCGAACUUUACGCUGUAUCGAAAUCGCGCGCUAUUUGAUUGGGUGUAUUUCCAUAAAACGCACUUAAGAAAUUACGAAUCUUGUGAUUAACCAAUAUCCAAAUAAUUUAACAUAAUA